GUCUGCUCUGCAAAACAAAGGAGUAGCCAGGGCCUUGUUUGUCCACCUAGUUCUCAGCGCACCCUGGACCUCUCAUGAAAAACCAGGAAGGUUUCUAAUUUUUUCUUUUCCUGAAACACAUCAAAGACCAUAAGUAGCAGAAAUCUGUGAAGGAAAAGGGGGUUUGACUGUGACUCCAAAACAUCCUCUCUAUAAGUUUUCACAGGAAGAAGCUGUAAGAGAUCUCAGCUGGCAUUCUUCAGCUUGUACCAGACAGUUCUUGCAGGUAGGACAUGACCAUUCUCUCUGUGUUGCUCUUGGGCUCUGUCCUGGGAUUGCAUUUGCUUUUUUUUUAGGACUGCCUGAGGUCCAAAUGCAGGACCAAGGUUGCAGGUCAUAUAUGAAGAGAAGAAAUCCAAAUGCAAUUUACAGGUUCUCCAGCCAUACUGCCCAAGUCACAGAAGGCAAAGGCAGCAGGGACUGGCAGAAUAAAGAACCAUCUUUUGUAGGAGAAGAUCAGGUUUGAGAACAUUUAAGAAACCGGAAGGUGCACAAAUACAUGGGACCUGAGGAGAUCCUGAUGAGGUCCUGAAGGAACUGGCAGAUGAAGGCUCUAAACACUAUCCAUCAUAUUUGAAAAGUCGUGGAAAAAUAGUGAAGUUCUCAUAGAGUGGAAAUGGGGAAAACCCAAUUUUAGAAAAGGGUAAAAAGGAGAAAGAUGGAGGGAACUACAGGCCAAUCAGUCUUGUCUUGGUGCUUGAAAACAUCAUGGUAUAGAGCCUCCUGCAAAAUAUGCUAAGACACAUGGAAUAUAAAAACAUAACUGGUGACAGCCAACACAGCUUUGCUAAGGGCAAAUCACACCUGACAAAUUUUGUGGCUUUCUUUAAAGGGGUGACAGAGUUGGUGGGUGAGGGAAGAGCAGUUGACAUCAUCUACCUGGGCCUGUGCAAAGCAUUUGACAUUGUCCUUCACAUGAUCCUUGUCCCUGAACUGGAUUUGAUGAAUGGAAUACUGGGUGGAUAAGGAAUGGUUUGAAAAGACAGGUGUCUGCUAGGGAAGGCAGGAGCCUCCCUUGAAAUGGAAAAUAUAAACCCCCGCCCUGCGAAUUAUUAUAAUUUUGAAAUUAAGGAGCUCUCAGGCAAAGAUA